rnacentral:rRNA from 1 species
CCUACGGGGGGCAGCAGUGGGGGAUAUUGCACAAUGGGGGAAACCCUGAUGCAGCGACGCCGCGUGAGUGAAGAAGUAUUUCGGUAUGUAAAGCUCUAUCGGCAGGGAAGAAAAAAAUGACAGUACCUGACUAAGAAGCCCCGGCUAACUACGAGCCAGCAGCCGCGGAAAUACGUAGGGGGCAAGCGUUAUCCGGAUUUACUGGGGGUAAAGGGAGCGUAGGCGGCCAUGCAGGUCAGAAGUGAAAACCCGGGGCUCAAACCUGGGAGGGCUUU